GACGAACGCUGGCGGCGUGCUUAACACAUGCAAGUCGAACGGUGAAGCGCCUUCCUUUUUGGUGGGUGUGGAUGAGUGGCGAACGGGUGAGUAACACGUGAGUAACCUGCCCCCUUCUUCUGGAUAACCGCAUGAAAGUGUGGCUAAUACGGGAUAUUCUGGGUCUGUCGCAUGAUGGGUCUGGGAAAGAUAUUGUUUCGGUGGGGGAUGGGCUCGCGGCCUAUCAGCUUGUUGGUGGGGUGAUGGCCUACCAAGGCGGUGACGGGUAGCCGGCCUGAGAGGGUGGACGGGCACACUGGGACUGAGACACGGCCCAGACUCCUACGGGAGGCAGCAGUGGGGAAUAUUGCACAAUGGGCGCAAGCCUGAUGCAGCGACGCCGCGUGAGGGAUGGAGGCCUUCGGGUUGUGAACCUCUUUCGCCAGUGAAGCAGGGCUGCCUCGUUUGUGGGUGGGUUGACGGUAGCUGGAGAAGAAGCGCCGGCUAACUACGUG
rnacentral:rRNA from 1 species